rnacentral:rRNA from 1 species
UGGAAGUAAAAGUCGUAACAAGGUCUCCGUUGGUGAACCAGCGGAGGGAUCAUUACCGAGUUAUACAACUCCCAAACCCACUGUGAACCUUACCUCAGUUGCCUCGGCGGGAACGCCCCGGCCGCCUGCCCCCGCGCCGGCGCCGGACCCAGGCGCCCGCCGCAGGGACCCCAAACUCUCUUGCAUUACGCCCAGCGGGCGGAAUUUCUUCUCUGAGUUGCACAAGCAAAAACAAAUGAAUCAAAACUUUCAACAACGGAUCUCUUGGUUCUGGCAUCGAUGAAGAACGCAGCGAAAUGCGAUAAGUAAUGUGAAUUGCAGAAUUCAGUGAAUCAUCGAAUCUUUGAACGCACAUUGCGCCCGCCAGCAUUCUGGCGGGCAUGCCUGUUCGAGCGUCAUUUCAACCCUCGAGCCCCCCCCGGGGGCCUCGGUGUUGGGGGACGGCACACCAGCCGCCCCCGAAAUGCAGUGGCGACCCCGCCGCAGCCUCCCCUGCGUAGUAGCACACACCUCGCACCGGAGCGCGGAGGCGGUCACGCCGUAAAACGCCCAACUUUCUUAGAGUUGACCUCGGAUCAGGUAGGAAUACCCGCUGAACUUAAGCAUAUCAAUAAGCGGAGGA